GAUGAACGCUGGCGGCGUGCUUAACACAUGCAAGUCGAACGAUGAAGCGCAGCUUGCUGCGUGGAUUAGUGGCGAACGGGUGAGUAACACGUGAGCAACCUGCCCUGGACUCUGGGAUAAGCGUUGGAAACGACGUCUAAUACCGGAUACGAGCAACAGUCGCAUGACUAGUUGUUGGAAAGAUUUUUUGGUCUGGGAUGGGCUCGCGGCCUAUCAGCUUGUUGGUGAGGUAAUGGCUCACCAAGGCGUCGACGGGUAGCCGGCCUGAGAGGGUGACCGGCCACACUGGGACUGAGACACGGCCCAGACUCCUACGGGAGGCAGCAGUGGGGAAUAUUGCACAAUGGGCGGAAGCCUGAUGCAGCAACGCCGCGUGAGGGAUGACGGCCUUCGGGUUGUAAACCUCUUUUAGCAAGGAAGAAGCGAGAGUGACGGUACUUGCAGAAAAAGCGCCGGCUAACUACGUGCCAGCAGCCGCAGUAA
rnacentral:rRNA from 1 species